AAGAAAAUAAUAAUCGUGGUAUCGAAAACACGUUUCAAUCGCGGUAGGCUAUUUUAUUGUUGCUCCGAACAUGGUUUUUCUCAUUGGUGUGAGCCAGUUGAGCAUACUUUCUCAAAUGGUGACCACAAAGAUGUGACGAACAAUGAAGAAAGCGAAGCAACAAGUUCAUUGAAGAAUGGAGUUCAAGUGAAGAAGAUCAACGUUCAAGAGGAUGGAAUAGUUCGUAGUUUGAUAGUCUUAAACCUAGCAAUAUUUGCGGUUUUAAUGCUAUGUAAAACCUUUGUUCUACUGUUUUAUUAAACAAGUUAU
rnacentral:lncRNA from 1 species